rnacentral:rRNA from 1 species
GACGAACGCUGGCGGCGUGCCUAACACAUGCAAGUCGAGCGAAUGAAGUUCCUUCGGGAAUGGAUUUAGCGGCGGACGGGUGAGUAACACGUGGGCAACCUGCCUCAUAGAGGGGAAUAGCCUUCCGAAAGGGAGAUUAAUACCGCAUAAGAUUGUAGUACCGCAUGAUACAGCAAUUAAAGGAGCAAUCCGCUAUGAGAUGGGCCCGCGGCGCAUUAGCUAGUUGGUGAGGUAACGGCUCACCAAGGCGACGAUGCGUAGCCGACCUGAGAGGGUGAUCGGCCACAUUGGGACUGAGACACGGCCCAGACUCCUACGGUAGGCAGCAGUGGGGAAUAUUGCACAAUGGGGGAAACCCUGAUGCAGCAACGCCUGGUGAGUGAUGACGGCCUUCGGGUUGUAAAGCUCUGUCUUCAGGGACGAUAAUGACGGUACCUGAGGAGGAAGCCACGGCUAACUACGUGCCAGCCGCCGCAGUAA